UACGUAGGGUGCAAGCGUUACUCGGAAUUACUGGGCGUAAAGCGUGCGCAGGCGGUGAUGUAAGACAGGUGUGAAAUCCCCGGGCUUAACCUGGGAACUGCAUUUGUGACUGCAUUGCUGGAGUGCGGCAGAGGGGGAUGGAAUUCCGCGUGUAGCAGUGAAAUGCGUAGAUAUGCGGAGGAACACCGAUGGCGAAGGCGGCCUUCUGGACCAAUACUGACGCUCAUGCACGAAAGCGUGGGGAGCAAACAGG
rnacentral:rRNA from 1 species